rfam:Nosema ceranae strain PA08 1199 NODE_1, whole genome shotgun sequence.
GCCAAAAGCUUUCGUUAGGGGAAUUUCCCUUGGGAAGGUCUGAGUGGAAUAUGGUCGAAAUGGCACUUAGUUAAUGCUAAGAAAGUUAGUUUAAUAGAAAUUUACUUUUGAUAUGACUGAAAUAGAAUGAUUAUCAUUUAGUCUGGAAAAUGCUAACUAUUCCAUUUUUAAAUAGUCAAACACGAAAGGCAAUGUAGGUCCAUUGUAACAAAAUUCAGACUACUCUUUGGC